AGCCGAGCACGAAAACCCGAAAAAUCGGAUUUUUGGUUAGCUCUCGGGUUGCCUUCAGAGGGCUGUGUACCGGUACGGGAGUGAUGGCUGUACCGGUACAGCCAUCGACUUUGGCCGCUUCUCAGCCAACCCGAGGCUCGGGCUGGGCGUUUUCGUAGAAGGUGUACCGGUACGCGGGCCCGUGUACCGGUACGCAGUGCAGAUUCUGAGCAGUUUGAACUGCAGGGGGUUUUUCGCAAUUGUGGCCUUCUAUAUAGCCACCCACGNNNNNNNNNNNNNNNNNNNNNNNNNGUGACUACACAUCACGAAAUAUGCCAACAUAAAAUCCGUAACGGGAGAUGAAAACCAUGAAGUAUGGUUAUUAACUCUUUGUUUAAAGUUAUGUUAUUUACUCUACAAAGAGAUUGAAGCUUGGAGUUCUUGAAUUUAGAAAUGUUUUGCCAUGAUAACUUCACGUCCUAAUCCCCGCCCAAUUUGUAGGCGUUAAACCGGUCACCGUCAACAGACACUUGAACGGACAGAACUCCGCUGUCUGCCCCAAGGCUCAACAAACAUAGUAGUAUUAGCAAUCAACCAAAGUUAAUUUGCAAAUUAUAUAUAGGCUUGCACGCGGGCAAGCAAAAUGGAAGGAAAGUCUAUACUAAAACAUUACAUCAUACAUGAUAUUUGAUUAGAUUUAAAACCAAAUACAACAGGUUUAGCUAAAACUAUUACAUCUUUUUCCAUAAUCAACAUAAUUCUUAUACAACUUUAAUCAUUCCACCAAAACACAUGAUUGUUUACAACUCUUACAUCUAAUUAACAAAGGAAAGUCGAUACAUACAAAGGAUAUGACUAAAAAUGCUCAUAAUCACGGUGGCCACUAGCUAUGACGCAAUACCCUUAGCCAUCGGCGCUCCACCGCCCGCUCCCCAGCGCUCAGGACCGUAGCGGUUAGUGGUUGGAGAACUUAUAACGAAUUCCCAUGGUUCGGCAACCGACCUCGCGACUUACCCACUAGGUCAAAUUCACGCAUAAGUAUUUCAAAGGAAUAGAAAUUAGUAAACUAAACUAAGCUAAUACUAUGCCUGCCCCAGAAAAACUGUCCAGUGGAUAUAAUGCAGAAAAUAGAAUUGCUCAUGCAUGCCAUGCUGUUUCCAUAACUUUUACUUUGGCUUUAUACCCAAUGUUGCCGUUAAACCUUGUCAACCCCAAUAACUCACACUAAAAUCCUUUAAUAACGGGAAACUCGAACCACCCUUAAGGACCGUCCUCUGGGGGGACUUUUACACGCCACAGUAGCUUUACCAACUCCGGAGCGCACCGCACGAGGGGGAGCUACUCCCUCAAGCCAAAGAUUUUAUCGUGAAGUAUCGAUCCACAAUCCUCAACUGACGACAAGCCACUAGUCACAAUGAUUGUUCAUAAUAGGUUUCUACCUAUUUGUUCAUGCUACUUUCCAAGAUAUACUUGUCACAAUGUCACUUGUUAAAAUAUGUUUAACAACCAAUUUUCAAUGCCAUCAUGUCUCUAUUGUAAAUGAUCACCUUUGUUUACUAUUGUCCAAGUCCAAGUUCACAUUCAUACAACUUUAGGGUUCUACCAUACAUGUCCAUUAUGGUUCUUAUCAUUCUCUAUGCUUCAACUACGCUUAGAAGCAUGUAAAUGAAAUCAAAACCAAGCGUACAUGUGAAUUUCACCCUACUAUGCAUGAAUGACUUAUACAUCAAUAUGUCAACAAAAAGAAAAAUAGACAUAAGGUGAAUCCGAUAAUUUUCUGUGUCACCCCACUCAAUAGAUGUAGAAGGGUUGUAGUUCGACUCUUCGUGUUUUUAAGAAACGCCUCUCCCGGCAACCUAAACCCAAAUAAAGCCAAAUUAGAGGGCCGUAUAUACAAGAUCGCUUACUAACUUUCAUAACGUUAAACGGAGUUGUCCCACGGUCGGGAAUACCCUAAUUAGGUUUCCAAAUGAGGUCAAUUUACUCGGAAAACACCUAGCGGUAAAAGCCCAAAAUCCAUGCCCUACCAAUGCCAUAAUGAAAUUUCUCACUAGAUUGGAUCUAUCCCUAAGCAAAAAGUAGCUAGAAUCCAACUUAGAGCAUUCUAAUACCAUUACUAAGGCAUUCAAAUACUCUUAGGCGCAUCUAUAUGAACCCUGUUAACCACCUGAGAGUUACCUUGGGAAACCAUGGAGUUCAGGAGUGUUUCAUGGCCUCUAGAUGGUUUAUAACCUUGCAAGUGAUCAAAUCCCAAAAAUCUAAAGGAAUAAAUAUCAAACUCUAGACUCACUUUUGCACAAAACUACCUUAAGCCAAAGGAAUCCAAGUCCCUUCUUGUAAGGAGAGCACCAAGAUUCACCAAAAGCCUCCAAAACUCCACCAAAAACCGCUUCUCCUUCUUCUCCACCUUGCCUAGAGUUGAGCUCUAGAGAGAGAAAGGGAAAAAAAAUUAGGAGAACGAACGGAGUGUGCUAUGUAAACAGGUGGGAGGGGCUGUUUUGGGUUAUAACAUGUUGCAACAAUGCAACUAGGCCCACAAAUAUCCUUAUUUGCAACAGGCCAAAUUCUCUGCUGCCAGACCAAAGUGUACGGUACACAGGAUGCUGUACCGGUAACACGAUUACGAGAGGCAAACCGAUAGCAAUUUCUCGCAGGUUUUACCAAUAAGUGUACCGUACACACAAGGGGUGUUACCGAAACACAGUCAAUUUUCUCACAACCCCGAGAGCUUUUAUUCAUCUCUCGGUUGCUGGCCCUGUCCGAUACAACUCGAUGGUGACCCGGUUACACUUUGCUCAAAAUGGCAGUUUUUAGCUCCGAUUCGGCUCUACUUCGCGCAGUCGAUGCUAAAGACCUUUCUACUCUUUCUAACUUAUUUUUCCCUUCUACAUCUUGGAUUACUAAAUGCAACUUGUCCACCAUCUUUUUCGGCCACACUUUAGUUAAUUUGGCUAAAGUUCGAAUAAUUUCUUCUGAAUUUCCAAUAUGUUACGAUUUCUCCACUCCUUAAAAUUAGUUUCUCGUCUGCGAAACUAUUAUUUGAAACUGAGAUUCAUACCUUCAAUGCGAGUUCGCAAAGGAGAUGAGGAUACAUUCUCUAUCCAGUCCUCAAGCUCACCAAGUUUCUCUGUCCGAUCGCCGUGUUGCUCUAAUGGAUAUUUAACAUACGAAAUUUCACGGGUUUAUAGUUUUCGCACCCUCCGAUCAAACAAAUGUACGCCGGGAACUCUCAUAAUCAUCUCCUUUUGAAGCUGCUAUCGAUAUACGAGAGAAUUAUGGCUUCGGCAUCAGGACAUACUUGGCGGCUAGAUUGAUACAUGAAACACGUCGUGCACCCCUGCAAGCCUCGGUGGUAAUUGCUGCUAUAUAAGCCGCCGCGGCCAACCCUUUCCAAGAGUCUCAAAGGGUGUCCGACAAAUCGGGACUAGCUUCCACCGGACACCGAACCCUUAAUCCUCGCCAUCGGCGAAACCUUUAAAAUACGCUAUCUCCAACCGUGAACCUCGAUGUCUUUCCUUCGCUUAUCGGCAGUAACUCUUGUGGCCUUGAUUGCCGCCGUCGCUAUCUUUGUCGAGCAACGGGCGAACUUUUUUCUCCGCCUCCCGAACCACUUUGGGGCCAAGCAGCAACUCUUCGCCUACAUCGCUCCAAUUGAAUCGGCUAGCGACAUGUUUUGUCCAUAAAGGGCCUCGAAUGGCGCCAUCGCAAUGCUUCUUGCUAGCUAUUGUUGUAUGCGAAUUCCGCCAUCGGGUAAGUGAUCAUGCCAUCCGCCUUUUGUAGUCAAAGUUACACACUGCUCGAAGAUCAUUCCUCAAGUACUUGAAUGGUCCUCUCCGAUUGGCCGUCACUUUGAGGAUGGAAUGCCGUAUAAAGUCGAGCCUGUGCCAAUGCGUCUCGCAAGCUCUCCAAAAUGAGAUGUGAACGAGGGGUCUUCGAUCCGAUACAAUAGAUACCGGAACCCCAAAGUCUCACAACCUCUCCGACGAUAAACUUGAGCUGUGAUCUCCCGACGAAAUAGUGUGGAAUUCGGCCCAAAAAGUGUGCCGGAUUUUGUCAACCGGGUUCCACAACUCCCAAAUCGCAUCAUGUUCCACCUUGCAUCUAGGCAAACCGAAGUCCAUUUACGAUAUUUUUUUCACUUCCACACGUAUAGUAAGACUUGUGCAAACUUGUCUGCCGGAAUCGUCGCUCCGCCUUAACUUGUUGGCACUGAGACAUUGUGCCACGAACUCCCCUAUGUCUUUUUCAUCCGCCACAUAUGCAACUUGGCAUAUUAAUUUUGUCGCCGGAAGAUAUUCUCUUAUGUAACCUUUUUCCUGAUUUUUAUCUUUAUUUUAAUUGUGUAUGCAAAGCGGACGUAUGAUAUGCGGGGAGAGGGAGGGGACUUCUUGCAUAAUCGUCCUUCGAAGAUCAUUCAGUCCUUGGGCACACACCAACAUUCCGAUAUCGUAGUCACCGUCGGUCCCCAAUCCAAAAUCAUCUGGCAGUACGCUCUCUUCAACUCUACCUCGCAUCUUUUGGGAGAAAUGGAAUCGGAAACUUGCAAUUCUUUAUUUCUCUCCAACAAGGUCGAUUGUACAAUCAACGUGGCAAGUGUUGCCGACACUCCUGGUGCCACAGCUCAAGUUACCAACCAUUGCAUCUCCUUUGCAUUGCAUAAUCGCCUUGAAGAUCAUCGUCCUUGGCGUACACCACGCAACGAUUCCAGAUAUCGUAGUGGCGACCGUCGGUCCCAAUGCAAAAUCAUCGGCAGUACCCGCUCUCACUCUACCGUCGCAUCUUUUGGAGAAAUGAAAUCGGAAAACUUGCAAUUCGUUUUAUUUCUCUCAAACAAAAGGGUUCGGUUUGUACAAUCAACGUGCAAGUGUUGCGGCACUCCCGGUCCACAACCUCAAGACCAAACCGUUACAUCUCCUUUUGGCAAAGCUGUUCGGGUGUAAUUGCGUCGCCAAAUUCUCCACGCGACUUUCUACUAUAGGCAUCGGCACACGACAUUUCUUCCCGGGGUGGUAGAGAAUCAAUGUGACGUCAUAAUCUUUUAGCAACUCCAACACGGGCGCUGGCCAAAUUAAUUCCUUCUGCGGUGAACACAGUACUUGGAGAAUUCUUAUGAUCAGUGUAAGAUUCACCAAUGCCACAUACAAGUAAUGCCCCCAUAAUUUUAGCGCUAGCGCAAAGAUAACCGCCGCUAGCUCAAGAUCAUGAGUCGGGUAGUCUUCUCUCAUAGCUUUUCAAUUGUCGCGAAGCAUAUGCUAUAUUAACUCGGCCAUUUGCAUCAAAAACACCCGAGCUGAUAUAAGAGGCCAUCACUGUACACUUACUUAGCUUCUCCCUGGCGUCGGCAAAAGCAAGUUACCGGAGUCGAUGUUAACCUUCGUCUUCAACUCCUAAAAGCUCCGUUUCACAUUCGCGGCUCCAAAUAAUACUCAUCCUCUUUGCGGUAAGGCGCGUAUAGUGGAGUAGUUAUCUUGUGCAAACCCCUCCACGAACCGCGAUAAUAGCCGCAAGUCCAAAAAAGUUCGAAUUUUCGUUACACUGUCGGGCGAGGCCGCCAAUCUUUAUUGCCCUCAAACCUUUCUUAUGGGUCUACCGAGGAUGCCGUCCCGGAUAUAACGUGACCCAAGAAAUUAACCUUCGAAAGCCAAAAUUCAUAAUUUCUUUAAUUUGCAUAUAGCUUUCUCUUUGGAGUGUCUCAACACGAUUCUCAAAUGCUCCUCGUGUUUUCCUCGGUCCGGAAUAAACCAAUACCGUCUGUCAAUGACACACCACGACACACUGGUUCAAUAGGGAUGAAAGAACUCAGAUUCAUUAAGUCCAUAAAAGCCGGCCGGGGAUUAGUAAGCCCGAAUGGCAUGGACUGUGAACACAUAGGUGGCCAGUACUGCGCUACGCUACGCCGUUUUGUUCACAUCCUGUGGGCCGUAUCUUUCAGCAUGAUGAUACCCGAUUGAAGAUAAUUUUGAAUAUACCCUUGACCCUUGCAACUGAUUGAAUAGAUCACUCAAAUUCUCGGCAACGGGGUACUUUUCUAUCGUCACCUUGUUUAUAACUCGCGAUAAUCAACGCAAAGUCGAAGCUACCAUCUUUUUCUUUACAAAUAGCACCAGAGCUCCGCACGGAGACACGCUUGGCCGCACAAAGCCUUUAUCAAGCAAGUCUUGCAACUGGGCCUUUAGCUCCUUUAGCUCAACCGGUGCCAUUCUAUACGGAGCCUCGAAAUUGGCGCCGCCCGGGAAUUAAGUCAUUGAACAAACUCAACUUCCCAGUCUCGGUGGCAUUCCCAGUAACUCAGCCGGAAACACAUCCAGAUACUCGCAAACCGCCCGAAUAUUCCCAAAUCGCGGUGCUCCUUUCAGGCGUCUAUGAUGGUCGCAAAAUAAGCCUUACAACCACCCUUAAUCAUUUCUUGCUCUCGCUGCUGACAACGGGUCGCACGAGCGCCUACUUUACACGCCCGGUAUACUAAUUGUUCUUGGUUAGGCUUCAACGGAAUGUGAUCACCUUACUCUCACAAUCAUGACUGCGUAAUACUUGGAGAGCCAAUUGAUCCCCAAGAUUACAUCGAAAACCCGACAUACUGCUUUAACACCAACAGGUCGAUUGGCAUGAUACAAUCGCCUAUCUAUACCGGACAAUCCAAGCACUCGUCAUAAACACGAAAUGAAAUGCUCGGGUAUUCACCGACCAAUAGUCUCAUUAUGUGUGAUCUCUAUGUUAUGAGCUUGUGCAAAUGAUGCUGCCUUAUGCAGUAAUGCGAUGCACCUGUGUCAAACAAUGCUCUAGCUCUAGUGCCUCUGAUCAAGAUUAUACCUGCCACGACGUCGUCAGGGACUGGGAUACGGCUGCUCCUCUACCUGAGUGCAAAAACCCGCCUACUAGGUGCUCGAGAAAGCCUCCGGCUGACGAGUGCGAUGAUUGUCCAGCUGACACCGCGCGGGUGGUAGUCCCACCAGCUAUCGCAGAGUAUUACUGAACUGUAACACACUGACCUUCGCAAAUUGCGAGGUUCGAGUGUUCGAGCUGUGUGCUGAGCAAUUCCAGAUUUUCUGGUGGUCGUCGACAGUGUUCCGACCUAUGGCUCGCAUCCCGAGAAGUGAGGUUUAGCCGAGCACGAAAACCCGAAAAAUCGGAUUUUGGUUAGCUCUCGGUUGCCUUCAGAGGGCUGUGUACCGCGUACGGAGUGAUGGCUGUACCGGUACAGCCAUCGACUUUGGCCGCUUCUCAGCCAACCCGAGGCUCGGGCUGGGCGUUUUCGUAGAAGUGUGUACCGGUACGCGGGCCCGUGUACGGUACGCAGUGCAGAUUCUGAGCAGUUUGAACUGCAGGGGUUUUUCGCAAUUGUGGCCUUCUAUAUAGCCACCCACGUCCCUAGGGCUCUCCCUGAGCUUGGCACCAGCAAGGAGAAAGGUGAGGAGCUCUCCAUACCUCCUCAUUCCUUUUCCUUGAUUUUGCUUGGGUUUUUAGAGAUUAAUCACCUCUUUGCUCCUUUUGGGUUUUGGAGGCUAUUCCACCAUUGCGAGCUUGGGUUUGGAUCUUGGAGGAGAGAUUCUUGGACCUUGAGGGUUUAGAAACUUGUUGGAGGCUUCUAAGAGUUGGUGGCUUAUUCUCUUCCUCUAGAUUUUGUUUGAUGCUUUGUAGUAGAUCAAACCUAGAAAUGGAAAUUUAGGGUUUAUUUGGGCAUUUUGCAUCUAGGGCUUUUGGAGCUAGAUUGUUUGGAUUAGAACCUUCCUUAGCUUGGAUUGGAAGGGAUUUAGCUCUAUUUUGGAGCUUGAGAGAGAUUUUCCACACAUUGGUGAGUUUUGGCCUUUUGGUUAAAUUUGUUAAGUUUAAUAUUAGCGCGAUGAUCGUAAUGCCCGUGUAUCUUUUCGCUCAAUCCUUUAGGUAAUUUGAGACUCGGGGACAAUUUGUUCGGGCGAAUCGAGACCCUACGCGACGGUUCGGUGGGUUGACCUAGCCUACAUAUGAGAAAUUCAUAUUAUGGUUUUAUAUGUCCGUAAAAUGGAAAAGCAUGCAUAUUCAUACUAAAUGUAUUUAUUAUGAUUUUAGAAUGCUUAAAAUGCAUAUUUAUGUAUGAUGAAAUUUUGGACCUCUAUGUAAUUGAGAGUUGCUUGAGGGAUCAUAGUGCAUUUCGCAUUCUUCAUGAGACUUGUUUCAUGCUUCUAUAGUGUAAAUGAGGUCGGAUUCAUGCAAUUUAAACCUAAGUUUACUUGUGACAUGAAAAUUGACAAGAUCCCAUUUAGAAGCAUGUGAACUAGAGAGCUAUUGUCAUCAAGCGGCAUUGAGCUCAGGACUUGUGUGAACCUUGUGGAUAGGCCAUUGAGGAUUUGGAAAACAUGUUGAACAUCAAAUUGCCUAAGUGUCAUCAAGGGCACUAGGCGUAGCAAUGUUGAAAUUCACAUCGUGACUUAGACUAGAUCUUCGGAUGCUAGUAUUGAUACCAUGUUAGAGACAUAGGAUUGGAUAUUUUGAGACUUGGACUAUGCUUGCUUGCCAUUUUGUGCUCAUUCGCACAUGCUUGUGAGGGUCGCUCCCCUACAAGCCGGCAUCCGGAGUUAGCCUACGCGACUUAUGACUCGCUCGCUGCGGUAUUGAGAAGCCUACGGGUCGAGUGGGACGACACAUUCCAAGAGUAGGGAUGUUGGGCUACCACAGGCACUUAGCGGCACAAGCGGACUACUUUGGUAGGUCCUUAAUUGAAAAUGGAAAUCGACAAGUGUUGAGUUUAUUAUAAUCACUACUUAAUAGAGAAUAGUAGUUGAUUACUUAGACUUACUUCUAGCAUAGUUUGGGGUACUUGGAUUAUACAUACAUAUAUGUAGCAUGCUAGAGAUGUUGCUUAUUGCAUUCAUAUAUAUAGCAUUGUUGCCAUGAUAAAGCAUGAUCUUCAUAAUUUCAUAAGCAAAUAAUGAUUAUACUUGUGGUUAUGUUGCGGACGUACUUGUUCAUCAUAAAAUAGGUGUACAUCAGUGUUUGACACAAUAGUAACACCCUCAGCAUUUCUAUUAUUUUUUCAUAAAUGCAAUUAUUAUUACAUUGCUCUUCUCUGUCUUACCCUUUUCUUUUGGGGCCUAGUGGUGCAUUGAGCUGAGGUCAGUAAUUGCCCACUGGGAACUAUAAAUUAUAGUUCUCACGCGCCUGUGUUUUAUGUUUCUUUCAGAGCCUUCCACGCCGGGAGAGGCUAGGACCGUGGGAAGGGAGUUGUCUGUUCGAGCUAGCUUCCUUCGAGGGCGAUCGAUAGGUGGUCUACCUCUCGUUAUUUUAUUUUGUGAGAGGUUUGAGAGUUUUACCAGUGUAUUAGAGACCACCAUUUUUGUACUUUUGAGACUGUAGUGUACUACUUAUGGUUCUUUUUAUCGUCUAGCUUUAUCUCUUUACUCUUGGUGUAGAUGAUAGAACUUUACUCGCUCUGAUAUCAUUAGUUGCUUGUUAUUUUACUUCUUUAUUUUUCUAUCUCUUGCUUUACUUCCGCUUUUAUUGUAGACGCCUUAUAUGUGUAGACAUAUGGUGGUGUCUGGGCCACUCUACGGGAGGGCCUCGCGGUCCCGGGGCGUGACAGAUUAAUUUGGUAUCAGAGCCUAGGGUUGAGUCUUAGUGGACCUACAACCUUAGGCCGGUUGGACUUAGAUUAGGCUCGUGUGAAGACGAGGUCUAAUUGAUUUGUGAGCGAAAGUAUUAUGAUUGGGUUAUGACAACUCUAAAAAGUUAGAGUUUGAUCGGAGUGUAUGGCUUCAACUCUGCAGAGGGUUACGUUGGCGCGCGACAACGUAACAUCGGAGUUAGUAGCGAAGGACACUUCCUUACUUUCGCAUGAUUUGGGGUCUAUAUCUUUGAGCGGGACGCGAUUAGCGUGGGUUACUAACUUGCGCUUUUUGUUUGUAGUGACGAUGCCGAUUACACGCUCCCAGUCAAGCCGGGGCGGAUGAUGCGGCACACCCCGAGGAGGUUGAGACCUCCGCUACUUCCGGAUCUAGUGAGUCCGGACUUUGAGACCCAGCUUGCGGUUCUCACUGAUUUGUUGGCGCAGCAGACGGCAGCGGCGCAGCGACAGGCUGAGGUGGUCAGUAGCGGGAGUCGCGGAUGAAGCAUCUCGAGGACCUCCUACUUCAGCAGGCGGCAGCUUCGAGGGAGACCCAGGGUCCCACACCGCCAGCUGCCCAUAGUGGACGUCGCACGGGAGGGCAGUCCCCCGCGCCCAGUUCCUCACGUUACGCACCGGCGACCGCACCCCGAGGAGGGUAGUUGCGGCAUUAACCAGUUCAGAGACCGGCCCGGGAGCAGCAUUCCCCGUGAUGCGGGGAGCCGAGCGGGAUAGACUCAUGAAGCGCCUCAGUGAGUUCAGGAGGUGCAGCCGAGGACUUUCGGAUGGUGAGAACGUCGACCACUGGAAUUGUGGAGAAAGUGGUUGAUGCACAUGGAGAAGCUCUUUCGAGACACUUUUGGGAGGAGCGGGACAGAGUUUGGCUCGCCACUCACUUUCUGUGACGGCGAGGCCUAUCGUUGGUGGUUGGAUAUUCAGGACAACCCCAACACCGAUUGGCAGCGAUUACUUGGACGAGGUUCAAGGAGCUUCUACUGGCGCACCACUUUCCUACCAGCGUCAAGAGGAAGAUGGAGCAGGAUUUGCGCAGCCUUGCGCCAGGAUGAGCGGUCAGUGGCGAGUACGAAAGGGAAUUUCUCUGCAUACUACACUGUAUACCGUUUGUUGUGAGGGACGACGAGGACAGGCCCGCAUCUCUAUUGAGCGCGGUUUGCGGCCUUCCAUCUUCGGUGGUGUGCAGUCUUCCAACCUCAGACUUAUCGGGAGGUUGUGGAUCGAGCUUUGAUAGUGGAGGCAGGAGCGGCGGAUCUGCAGGAGCGUCGCGAGAGCUUGGAGGAAGGGAAGGGGAAGAGACCGCGGCUGAGGGUGCGAGUCAGACGCACUCCGCGAGGCCGCCGAGUCAUCCCAGGAGCAGGAGUCAGUCGCGAGGACGCGGCCAGUCUAGUCAGCGAGGGACCCGAUCGUCGUCAGGUCCCCCGCCUGCGUGAUCUGUGGUGGCCCUCAUUACCCACGACAGUGUACACGCAGCGGGGCAGGUGCUUCUUUGUGGCCAGGGAGGGGCCACUUCCAGUCGCGACUGCCCGAGGAGUCCAUUGCCAGCGCCUCUGCGCAUCCGCACCCGCAUCGCCAGGUCUCAGCCAGGGGACAUCUUCUGCGCAUCACCAGGUAGGACGACCGCCAGUUCUGCGACAGGCGGAGGGCUCCCGACAGGCCCGAGUGGGCGCAUGUACGCGGCCAGACUGAGAGGCAGCGCAGCUGAGAAUGUGGUCGCAGUAUCAUUUUACUUCAUGGUAUUCGAGUUAGAGCAUUUUUUGAUACCGUGCAUCGCAUUCAUUUCAUUGAUCGGUGUUUGCCGAGCGCAUGCAUCCCACUUGUAUCCUUGUUGCAUCGGGCCGAGUUGUUGCUACCGACAUCUUUUGGACAUUCGGAGUUUUGCCCCAGUAGCCUAUUCGGGUUGGAGAUUGGAUCAUGCCGUCGAUUUGCUAGACUUUGCAUAAAUCCGGGGAGUUUGAUUCGUGUGUGGCAUGGAUUGGUUGACUAAGUAACUUCGCCACUAUCGAUUGUAAGGAUCGAACGGUGACUUGAGGAGCCAGGGCAGGCGGAGGUUGUGUGAUCGAGGAUGCCAGAGUUCGCUGUUUGCGAUGACGAUUAGCUCCUCUCGAGCUAGACAGUUGAUUAGUAGAGCUGCCGUAGCCUACUUGGCUACUGUGUGUUGCGGGCGAGGGUGACGCCCCUAGGAUUGAGGAUAUCCCGUAGUGCGGGAUUUGGAGAUGUGUUUCCAGCAGAGCUUCCAGGUUAUGCCUCCUGAUAGGGAGAUUGAGUUUGUGUAGAUCUCGUUCCGGCCGACUACUCCAAUUCUCAAAGAGCGCCCUAUAGGAUGGCACCAGCAGAGUUGAAGGAGCUGAAGGCACAGUUGCGGAUCUUCUGGAUAAGGGUUUUGUGCGACCGAUAGUGUGUCACCUUGGGGAGCACCGUCCUAUUUGUGAAGAGAAGGAUGGAUAACUUCGUUGUGCGUGGACUAUCGUGACUUAAUAAAGUUCACGAUCAAGAACAAGUAUCCAUUACCGAGGAUUGAUGAUCUACUUGAUCAGCUUCAGGGAUCUUGUGUAUAUUCCAAGAUUGACUUGCAGUCGGGAUAUCACCAGUUGAGGAUCAGACCUGAGGAUUGGCGAAGACGGCUUUUAGAACACGGUAUGGACAUUAUGAGUUUACCGUUAUGCCGUUUGGGCUUACUAAUGCCCCGGCAGCCCUUUAUGGAUUUAAUGAACGAGCCUGUGUUUAAGCCUUAUUUAGACAGGUUUGUCGUGGUGUUUAUCGACGACAUCUUAGUGUAUUCCCGAGUGACGCGGAUCACGAGGAGCACUUGAGACUUGUACUUCAAGUGCUUCGAGAAAAGAGCUCUAUGCAAGUUGAAAAAGUGUGAAUUUUGCUUAGAGGAGUGGCGUUUUGGGCCAUGUGAUUUCUGGAUCAGGCAUAGCCGUGGACCCGAGAAAAAUUGAAGCUAUCAAGGAUUGGCCGAGGCCGACGAGCGUGACGAGAUACGGAGCUUCAUUGGAUUGGCCGGCUACUACCGACGGUUUGUCGAGGGAUUGCGAAGUUAUCUACCCCUCAGAGACUCACGCAUAAGGGCACCAAGUUUAUUUGGGAUGAUGCGGUGUGAAAGGAGCUUCCAAGAGUUGAAGCAGCGAUUGACGACGGCCCCGAUCCUUACCUUGCCGACUGCUGGAGCAGUGUAUGUGAUUUAAUGUGAUGCUUCCUAAAUGGUCGGGCUGUGUCUUAAUGCAGGACGGGAAAGUGAUCGCGUAUGCCUUCUCGCCAAUUGCAAGGAUUAUGAGAGGAACUAUCCUACCACGACUUGGAGUUGGCGGCCUGUAUCUUGCCUUGAAGCUAUGGCGCCACUACUUUAUGGCGAGCGGUUGUGAAGUAUAUACGGAUCACAAAAGCUUAAAAGUAUUUUUCACUCAGAAGGAGUUAAACUUGAGCGCAGCAGAUGGUUGGAGCUACUCAAGGAUAUAGUGACGAUACUUUACCACCGGGCAAGGCUACGUGGUGGCGGAUGCGCUAUACGUAAAUCGACGGAAGACUUAGCAAUGCUUGUGGUUACUCAACCGCCGUAUCGAGCAGAUGAAGCGGUUGGAGUUGGAGGUGGUGGUCCUGAUACACCGUUGAGGACUGAUGACUUUUGGUGGUGCAACCUACACUUUUGAAAGGAUUAAGAAAAGCAAGCUUCCGACUCGGAGUUGCAAAAGAUCCAAGCUAAAUUGUGAUGGGUUGCACCGGCGACUUCACUUUAGACGGUGAUAGAUUGAUGCGUUUCCGCGGACGACUUUGUGUACCGGCGGUUUGGGCAUAAGGAAGACAUUCUUCAGGAAGCCCACACCGAAGCACGUACACACGGGGGGCACAAAGAUGUACAAGGAUUUGAGUUACUUUACUGUGGCCCGGGAUGAAAAGAUGUUGGUGAGUUUGUUGCAUGGCUUAACUUGCCAACACGUGAAGGCCUGAGGUCACUCGAGUUCCUGCGUGGGAAAGUUUGGCAGAGCCUACGUUCUAGUCGUGGAAUGUCGCGGAAAGAAGAUCACCGAUGAUUUCUGAUGGGAUUGCCUCGCUCCAGGCCGCAUGCACGGCCUAUUUGGGUGUGAUUGUGGUAUAGCAUUGACAAGAAUCGUCGUCACAUUUUCCAUACCUAUCCACACAGCUUUGAAUGCGUGAGAGACGUCGCACAGGUAUACCUGCAUGAGAUUCGUGCAUUUGCACGGUCCCGGUACCUACUUCUAUCAUCUCAGAUCGAUGAUCCCGUUGUUUCCCACUUUUGGAAAGCAGCUUACAGGAUGCUUUGGGGUACGCGCUUGGAUUUCAGCACUGCUUUCCACACCAGAUGGACGCGGCAGUCGAGCGUACUAUACAGACUCUCGAGGAACAUGCUUCGGCCUGCUGUGAUUUCUCCAGCGAGGGCUAUGGUCGCACGAGUCUACCGAUGGCAGAGUUUGCUUAUAACAACAGUUAUCAAGCAGCAUCAACGAUGGCACCGUUCGAGGCACUCUAUGGACGGAAGUGUGAUCGCCACUAUCAUUGGAGUGGAAGUCGGCGCCGAGAGAUUGCGUUUAUGACCCUCGAUGUGGCCCUCCUGAUGAGCUGAGAACAAGGUUUCGCAGUUGCUCGAGGCGAUUGUUGACAGCCCAGUAGUUAGGCAGAGAAGUUUAAUGUGACAGGCAGUCGACGGAUUUGGAGUUUCAGAUGGAACCAUGUGUUCUUGAAGGUCUCGCGACCAGGAAUCUAGAAGUAUUUGGAAUCCGGGGUAAGUUGAGCCCCCGACUUAUAUUGGACCAUAUAGAUGAUUUGGAGCGACUGUAGGCCCCUCAAUGUGGCGUUUAUCGACUUAGCUCUACGCCAACCAUCGCGGGUUGUACCAAUGUAUUCCAUGUAUCGGUCCUUCGGAAGUACAUCCACGACCGGCUCAUGUGUUGGAUGCUUACACUAUGGAGUAUGAGGCUCUAAGCUUGUAGGAGCACACCCUUGAGAUUUUGCGCUCGCGAGCGUUGAACAAGAUGCGGGAACGAGAAAUUUCUUACGUGAAGGUGCUUUGGAGCAACCACGACGAGCGCGAGGCCACUUGGGAGUUAGAGAGCGCGCUGCGGGAGCGCUAUCCCCAUCUUUUUCAGAUGGAUACUUGAGGUACUUUGCUUAUUUUGAGUUUCGCGGACGAAACUCCUUUUUAGGAGGGGUGAAUGUAACACACUGGACCUUUGCAAAUUGCGAGGUUCGAGUGUUCGAGCUGUGUGCUGAGCAAUUCCAGAUUUUCUGGUGGGUCGUCGACAGUGUUCCGACCUAUGGCUCGCAUCCCGAGAAGUGAGGUUUAAGCCGAGCACGAAAACCCGAAAAAUCGGAUUUUUGGUUAGCUCUCGGGUUGCCUUCAGAGAGCUGUGUACCGGUACGGGAGUGAUGGCUGUACCGGUACAGCCAUCGACUUUGGCCGCUUCUCAGCCAACCCGAGGCUCGGGCUGGGCGUUUUCGUAGAAGGUGUACCGGUACGCGGGCCCGUGUACCGGUACGCAGUGCAGAUUCUGAGCAGUUUGAACUGCAGGGGGUUUUUCGCAAUUGUGGCCUUCUAUAUAGCCACCCACGCCCCUAGGGCUCUCCCUGAGCUUAGCACCAGCAAGGAGAAAGGUGAGGGAGCUCUCCAUACCUCCUCAUUCCUUUUCCUUGAUUUUGCUUGGGUUUUUAGAGAUUAAUCACCUCUUUUUGCUCCUUUUUGGGUUUUGGAGGCUAUUCCACCAUUGGAGCUUGGGUUUGGAUCUUGUUGGAGGAGAGAUUCUUGGACCUUGAGGGUUUAGAAACUUGUUGGAGGCUUCUAAGAGGUUGGUGGCUUAUUCUCUUCCUCUAGAUUUUGGUUUUGAUGCUUUGUAGUAGAUCAAACCCUAGAAAUGGAAAUUUAGGGUUUAUUUGGGCAUUUUGCAUCUAGGGCUUUUGGAGCUAGAUUGUUUGGAUUAGAACCUUCCUUAGGCUUGGAUUGGAAGGGAUUUAGCUCUAUUUUGGAGCUUGAGAGAGAUUUUCCACACAUUGGGUGAGUUUUGGC
rnacentral:lncRNA from 1 species